ensembl:lncRNA
CAGGGCGUUUUUUGGCAUCCCUAAAAGGGGAACAAUUGAACAAUUGCCGUGUUUUCUUCUUUUGGUGGGGGGGGGGGGGGCGCUGUCAAGCAAGCGAAACAAACAGCCAGUUAUCAUCGGGAGCAGAAGAGCUCGUAGGUUCUGACUGAAGGUCGAGGUUCUACCGGUUACAUCAGCUGAGAACUUUUUGUUCUCAGAAUAUUCACCUCAGAGGAAACGAUGCAGCUUUGUCUUCCCCCAGAACUCACUCUGCUUCAACUGCAUUGAAACAGACUUUCCAAUACAAUGGGAAACAAUGAAAAACAGCACGACCAAAAGACCCAAAGAGGACCACAAGUCCCAGGUCAGGUUCCGAGUCCUAAACAAGUACUAAUCACCAAAUCCAUCUGAACAACAGAACUGGAUUGAAAAAUGCAAAAGCUGUACGGCGUAAACCCUGCUGAGGUAAAGACCAAACUACUGUCAGGGUUCCUUUCUUUGUUUGUCCCGUCUUGUGAAUUUAUGUCCUUGGUCCGCUGCAUUGGUUUCAUCUGGGCCUAAAUAGGCCUGCACACUAAACCUCUUCCUCGCCUUUCCUUACUCCCACCUAGUCCUAGUUUUCUGUUUAUUGUUCCUUCUGUUCGGCUCUUCCCAGUGUUAAGAAUCCUUUUGCUGCUUCUGGACUCUCAGCCUAUCAAUCAUUUCUCAAUAAAUCACCAUUUCCUCUGUGUUUGGAUCAACUACUGUGGAAACACGCUACUGCCAUUGCAUUAACACCUGAGUCACUACUACUACUACUACUACUACUACUACUACUAUUGCUACUGUCCUGCUACCUCUCUUGGUGCUCACACUGUUGACUUUCAUGCUCUCCACUCAUGGCGUUUGGACUGUGCAGCUUCUUUCUCCUGCCAUCUGUUGGUGCCUUCUCCAAUAAAACACUUUUAAUGCUGUAUAUCCUGAGGAAUGAACUACUUCAGCCCCUUUUAGCAACUGCUCUCAUGUUAAGAGUAUCUUCUAAACCACCUAAACAACCAUCUACCUUAUUUACCACUAUGUGAACUCCUGCAGGACCUGUCUAGUUUCAGGUUUCCAAGUCCUCUGUGUGUCACUGAAGGUUCGGCCCUCAGUGUUCAGGGGGAACCUUUUACUUUUCACAGAGGAGAAGAUGUGUUCUUACUCACAAGUGAGGAAAUAUACAUUAGCUGUAUUUGUGAUUAAUCCGUGUCAUUGAGUGGGCUAUUUAAGCCAUUUUCUGUCAUGGCAGAUUGAUGAGCUACAUUCACCCAAACCCAAAUUUAAGAAAGAUGGUUCAGCUUCUGCUUGCUAAGGAGCUAUAAUUUUUUUUCUUGGGGGAAUCUGAAAUUAGACAUUAGGUAACAUGCCAAUUGUGAGAUUUCUUUUGUCGUUGCAUUUAAGUGCUGUAUUUUCUUCUUGUCAGAAAUAUGAAUGUAUGAAAUGGGUCAGAACUGAGACUCCAAACCAACCAAAAUACACUUUCCAGCUUUGGUAUUUUUACUGCCAAAAACGUAACUUUACAAACCGAAUCAAAGUAGCACAAGCGGACUUAACACGCUGGAGAAGACCAAAAAUGAAGACUUGAUAAAUGCCGUCUCGGGUAGGAAGAUGGAUCAGACGGGUGAUGCUACCGAAUUCAGCCGCGGGGCGAAAGCGGGCGGGAAGCUAAAGUGGUUCUUGGCGGAUGGAUGUGUGGUCAAAAGAAUAAAACAAGUCUUCACAAUGUAUUUCCUCUCCUUCUAGUAAGACCAGCUAUUGAAUUAAUUUAGCUCAAAUGACAAAUGAAAUCAAUAUCUUUAAAAUAACUGACUUAAAAAGGAAUAUACAGUUAAUUGUCACCUGCAGAUAUUUCUUUCCAAAUUCCUGGAUCUAAUCCUGUUUCACUGUUUUAGUCAUUUCAGAUUUCUUUGGUUUUGGCUUCACAUCUUCACUCUGUCAUAAUUUUUCUUUGUUUUCAAUAAAUAAUAUUAAAGGAGGAUAGUGGCUGCUCACUUAUAUUACACACAUUCCUUCAUAUCUUCCUUUUCUUUGCUCCUGUCAACCAUUUUUUCUCUUGUCAUUUUUAAAAAGGUAUUUCUCUUCAUAUCUUCACAUUGUGGAUUAUGACUUUAUUGUUAUUAUUGACUUUUUAUUGUAUUACUGUUACCCCCCCCCCCCCCCCCCCCCCCCUCCAUCCCCCCACCGCACAGCGCUGUUUGCUCAGAUCAUGAACGGAUGGGGAAAACACACCGGCUAAUUAUUUCAGAUAAUACAAUUAAGAUAUGCAUAUUUAGCAUAAACUCUACAAUGGAAAUGUAGACGUCAGCAGAUAAGGAGUGUGCGUGUGUGUGUGUGUGUGUGUGUGUGUGUGUGAGUCUCUAGUGGCGAGUAGAAACAUUCAUCUCGUCCUGCUUUGAGUCUCUUAACUACACAGAGGUUAGAGCCAUUACCCGAACAUGCAUGUGUGUGUGUGUGUGUGUGUGUGUGUGUGUGUGUGUGCAUGUGUGUGUGUGUGUGUGUGUGUGUGUGUGUGUGUGUGUGUGUGUGUGUUGCCUUGACUGAAAAUAAGCUCAUUUAAAAUGUGUUUUAAAAACUGUUUAUUUAUCUCGUGUCAUCCUGGGCUCUGCGCACACACACACACACAC